ensembl:lncRNA
GAAGUAGCAUGCUAAGAGGAAGAGAAAACCAGGAUAAAACCUCGGAGUUUACCUCUGAAAAGAAAAAAAAAAAACAGUUGGAGCACUUACCCAGUGGAGGUCCGGAGCCAAGUGACUGAACGAAGGAGAGAGUUACGUCGGCUAACCACUUGCCUUUCACCCAGAGAGCCGCAGCAAGGUCCAACAUCGGCGUGCUCCGCCUUGAUACACAGAGAGCAACGGUGAGAAAUGUGCCUUUUUAGCUGCUCUGGUGCUCUUUUCCUCUUGUUUUUGCAGGUGUUGAACGAAGGCAGUGGUGAUAUUACGGUUAUGAGAGUGAACUGAAGUGAAUAAUGGUGCAGUACUUCUGGACAUAUGCACAUUGUGUUCAUUAUUUUAUGCUGAUGUGUAUGUAAUUAAAGAGGAAGUGUUUUAUUUUCCUAAUGCCAAUUUAAAGGGAAAAGAGAGUAAUUUGGUAUGUUGGAUGAAUGUAAAACAAUAUGGUGUUGAAUGUAAAUUGUGUGACCUGUCUACAGGUCAGGUUUUUUGGAGGACUGAAGAGUCUGAGGUUCAGGACAAACUUCCUGCUGUAACAGAUGGUGAGCCAACUACCCUGAAGAAAGAUCAGCACUGAGAAGAUAUCCACGUACUCAUUCACACACACAUAUUAUACAUUUACAUUACACUACAAAGACCUUUGGAAUCAGGUGAACUUGCAAUAAUCCUACAACAGGAAAACCUACAACAACACCUAUUUUACUUAAGGGCCCCAACGGACAUUUUUGGUUUCAAGUGUGCACACUGGGUUUUUCUUAUUGUCUUACUGUUUGGGUUAUUAUUUUGUAUUCUGUACAAAUCAGACAACUUGUUUUAUCCACUGUUAAAAAUUAUACGAGUGGCUACUCAACUAUUACCCCUGCGGUUGCCUCAUUAUUGUUGCUCAGUACAGUGGCUCCUCCCAAAUUUAGUGUCUUCUGAUUCUGGUCCAGGUAUUAUAAAUAGUCCAAGUAAUUAUUACACUGUAAUUCACUUUUAUAUCCCUAAAGUUGGUUACUUGUAUCAAAGAGGUUUUAGUCUAUGUCUAGAAAUUGAAAAUAUCUGAAAAAU